UAACUGAAGAGUUUGAUCAUGGCUCAGAUUGAACGCUGGCGGCAGGCUUAACACAUGCAAGUCGAGCGGGGAAGGGUAGCUUGCUACCUGACCUAGCGGCGGACGGGUGAGUAAUGCUUAGGAAUCUGCCUAUUAGUGGGGGACAACAUUCCGAAAGGAAUGCUAAUACCGCAUACGCCCUACGGGGGAAAGCAGGGGAUCUUCGGACCUUGCGCUAAUAGAUGAGCCUAAGUCG
rnacentral:rRNA from 1 species